rnacentral:lncRNA from 1 species
GACCAAAUGCCAUGGCCGCUGCAACUUGUAGUCAAUAUAUGCAUCCUUGCAGGACAAUUCCCAUACAGAAAGCUCACAAACAUGCUCUGCCACAUCAUGAGACUAAUCAGCAUGCACACAUUGUGCAGCCACUAGGUAACAACAGGGUCAAGCCACAACACUUCAAAUGAUGCAAGAACCCUACGUAUUGUAAAUACCCAUAUGGUUCAUUUAUGAAGACAUCAAUCUUUAGCAAGAAUCAAGAGCAAGCACCAGCACAGUCACACAACCAGUCAGCCUCCUCACAGAGGGGCCCUCUGACCAGCUCCAUAAGUGAACGUUCAAGAGAAUAAUACAGCAGUGCUCAGGCAGCAGGUUGUAGCCUGCAGCAAUUCGUUCAUUCUGUUUGUCCUCUUUUGAUAUAAGACCCCCUGACCCCCCCACUUCCCCGCCCAAUUGAGGCACAUGCUGAUUGAUCACUGCUAAUGGCUGUCCUUUAAACGGCGCACUUCAGCAGCAGAUGCAUUCUGAUGCUGCAGGUGCUGCUGCAUGCUGACAGCACACCGGCAGAGCAUAAACUCAUACGGACAAAGUGAACUGGCUGCUCAUAAGCGCUGGCGCUUUGAGCUGGUUGCUGCUGCAACCGCGAGUCUCUCGCCGUCAAACACAUCCGGUUCCUUCUCCACAUAGCUCUGGCAGCGCUUGCUGCAGUGAAUGUAGCACGCCUG